rnacentral:rRNA from 2 species
CUGAGACUUUAGGUCUCCUGAAGGAACGUUGAAGACGACGACGUUGAUAGGCCGGGUGUGUAAGCGCAGCGAUGCGUUGAGCUAACCGGUACUAAUGAACCGUGAGGCUUAACCUUACAACGCCGAAG